rnacentral:lncRNA from 1 species
GGGCAUUUUGAAAAAGCUCAUUUAGGAAUGAAAACGGACAGGUCUUGCGAUUAGCUUUCAAAACUUUCCUCACGUCAACCUCCUUAACCUUAAGGAAAUCAGAUAAGGUCGAUACAUGCUCAGCCCCUAUAGGUGGACCAAUUAACUCCGACACCAAAGGCUUUCCCAUGGCAACGCUGUAUUCUUCCAGGGUUGGAGUGAGCUCGUGGUCACCAAACAUGAAUGUGCAAGUCUCAGGACACCAGACAUGUGCCAAUGCUCAUACAACACCAUAAUGAGUUUCUAUUUCUAAGAGAGGAAGUAAUCGUCCGACAUAGGAUCGCACCCAAUCAUGGCCAGUCGGGUCUAUUCUAUCCCACCAAGUGUGAAGCUCGGCUUUCGGGGCAGCAAUGAUGUAAAGCUCA